rnacentral:ncRNA from 1 species
ACGUUGUUGCGACCCCAUUCCUGCGUACUACUAGAGGAACCGCAGGUACGGACCAAUGGCACAAUACUUGUUCGAGCGAACAGUGGUAUGACGCUACGUCCGUUGGAUUAUGCCUGAACGCCUCUAAGGUCGUAUCCGUGCUGGACUGCAAGGAUAAAUAAGGGGCAAUUUGCAUUGUAUGGCUUCUAAACCAUUUAAAGUUUAUAAUUUAUUUUAUAAACGACAAUGGAUGUGAUGCCAAUGUAAUUUGUAACAUAAAAAAUUAGGAGGAUCUUAGAUCACCUGAUGCCACGCUAAUUACAUUUAAAAACAUUAUUUAAUACAAUGACUAACCCUAAAAUCAAUUGUAAACGAUUUUUGUACCAGGCUAGGUGUUGAAAGUGGUUGACCAAAAGAAUUCAAUCUCAAUAAAAGUUAAUGACAAAUCGCCAUUAACAAUGAUUU